UACAGAGGUCUCAAGCGUUGUUCGGAUUCAUUGGGCGUAAAGGGUGCGUAGGUGGUGAUGCAAGUCUGGUGUGAAAUCUCGGAGCUCAACUCCGAAAUUGCACCGGAUACUGCGUGACUCGAGGACUGUAGAGGAGAUCGGAAUUCCCGGUGUAGCGGAUGAAAUGCGCAGAUAUCGGGAGGAACACCAGCGGCGAAGGCGGCACUCUGGGCUGGAACUGACGCUGAGGAGCGAAAGCUAGGGGAGCAAACGGG
rnacentral:rRNA from 1 species